AGGACGGACGCUGGCGGCGUGCUUAACACAUGCAAGUCGAGCGGUAAGGCCUUUCGGGGUACACGAGCGGCGAACGGGUGAGUAACACGUGGGUGAUCUGCCCUGCACUUCGGGAUAAGCCUGGGAAACUGGGUCUAAUACCGGAUAUGACCUCCUAUCGCAUGGUGGGUGGUGGAAAGGUUUAUCGGUGCAGGAUGGGCCCGCGGCCUAUCAGCUUGUUGGUGGGGUAAUGGCCUACAAGGCGACGACGGGUAGCCGACCUGAGAGGGUCGACCGGCCACACUGGACUGAGGCACGGCCCAGACUCCGUACGGGAGGCAGCAGGUAGGGGAAAUAGUUGACAAC
rnacentral:rRNA from 1 species